UACGUAGGGGGCAAGCGUUGUCCGGAUUCAUUGGGCGUAAAGAGCGUGUAGGCGGCCAGGUAGGUCGGUUGUGAAAACUGGAGGCUCAACCUUCAGAGGUCGACCGAAACCAUCUGGCUAGAGUCCGGGAGAGGAGAGUGGAAUUCCUGGUGUAGCGGUGAAAUGCGCAGAUAUCAGGAAGAACAUCCGUGGCGAAAGCGGCUCUCUGGAACGGUACUGACGCUGAGACGCGAAAGCGUGGGGAGCGAACAGG
rnacentral:rRNA from 1 species